rnacentral:rRNA from 1 species
UACCAGCUCUCCGAGUGGUGUGGAUGUUUAUUGGGCCUAAAGCAUCCGUAGCUGGCUGGGCAAGUCCCCUGUUAAAUCCACCGAUUUAAUCGUUGGUGUGCGGGGGAUACUGUUCGGCUAGGGGACGGGAGAGGCCGACGGUAUUUUCGGGGUAGGGGUGAAAUCCUAUAAUCCCGGGAAGACCACCUGUGGCGAAGGCUGUCGGCUAGAACGCGCCCGACGGUGAGGGAUGAAAGCUGGGGGAGCGAACCGGACUAGAUACCCGGGUAGUCCCAGCUGUAAACGAUGCAGGCUAGGUGUUUGGGCGGCCACGUGCCGCUCUAGUGCCGCAGAGAAGUCGUUAAGCCUGCCGCCUGGGGAGUACGGCCGCAAGGCUGAAACUUAAAGGAAUUGGGCGGGGGAGCACCACAAGGGGUGAAGCUUGCGGUUU